UCCCUGGCUGUCCAGUGGUUAGGACUUGGCACUCACACUGCCAAGGCCUGGGUUCAAUCCCUGGUCAGGGAA